rnacentral:rRNA from 1 species
UACGUAGGGUCCGAGCGUUGUCCGGAAUUACUGGGCGUAAAGAGCUCGUAGGUGGUUUGUCGCGUUGUUCGUGAAAACUCACAGCUCAACUGUGGGCGUGCGGGGCGAUACGGGCAGACUGGAGUACUGCAGGGGAGACUGGAAUUCCUGGUGUAGCGGUGGGAAUGCGCAGAUAUCAGGGAGGGAAACACCCGGUGGGCGAA